rnacentral:lncRNA from 1 species
AUGUUGUUUAACCAGCCUGAGCCCCAUUUGUCCAUUUCCUUUUCCUGCGAUGGGACAUUAGCCAGUUGCAGUCUAAAAACAAAGCUUUAUUAUCAUGAAUCCCAUCCUGAAACUUUCUCUUCUCUUCCCUGGUUCCCUGAUUGCUGUGUUCAGAUCUGUCCAUCGUAUAAAACUGUUUCAUUAAGUUUUGUUCAUCAAACUCGACACAACACUAGAGAGGACCAGCUUAUAUGUGUAGAGAGCAGAGAAAAUGUGUUUUUUAUGAUAUGUUCACUGUCAGUCUGAUAAACAGCUUCUUUGCUCAGACUCUGGAGGAGGAUCUGAGGAAAUAGUUUGAUGAACAAAACUUAAUGAAACAGUUUUAUACGAUGGACAGAUCUGAACACAGCAACAGACUUUGAGACAAUCAAGGAACCAGGGAGGAGAAGAGAAAGUUUCAGGAUGGGAUUCAUGAUAAUAAAGCUUUGUUUUAAGACUGCAACUGGCUAAAAUCCCAUCGCAGGAAAAGGAAAUGGACAAAUGGGGCUCAGGCUGGUUAAACAACAUUACAUCUGAGACGAUUGUAGUCCUACAGAGAUCUCCACCACAACAUCCUGGAUCGGGUGUUGCACUGGGGACCGAGUCGGAUGGAGAGUUGUGUUGUCUUGUUUUUUUGGUGUUUAUUUGUUGUUCUCCACCUUCAUGUUGUCGAAUCAGGUUGUUGUCAGUAACUUCACGCAGUGAGCUGCAAACACAGAACUGUUCGUGGUGAUUCCACCAUUUUCGACAAUCUGCGCCUCAGAAGAAGUAGAAGAGUCAAAUUCAAAAUGUAGAAAAGUCAUUUAUUUUCAGUUGAAUAGUGCCUGAAAAGUUAUUGAUGUUAAAUAAUAAUAAUGAUACUUCCACCUCUGAUCUGCUGUCACUGACAGUAUAUUCUAAACUGACAGCAGUUGAUGUAUUUUAUAAUAAUAUUUAAGUUAAACAAUAUACGUGACAGUUACUGUUUCCCAGAAUAUAAACCAGACAGCACAGAAACAUAUUGUACACUGUAACACUUUAAAGACUGUGGGAUAAUAAUUUAAUCAGGUGAUAAUGAAUCCAUAGAAAUCUGUGAAUCACUUUCCUUCAUGAUUAACUGAACAACAACUCAUCAGUUACUUUAUCAUCAGUUCCUCUUUUUGUCCAUGUUGGGCAACUUACUUUCUAAAUGUAAUGUAUUAUAUAUUACUAGUUACUUUCAUAUUAAAGUUAUAUAUUAUGUUACAAUAUUACUGUCUGCGUAGAGUAAUACAUUACACAACUUUUUAAUUACGCCUGCCCUGAUGUGGACGGUCUGUGCACUCCAGACAGUAUCUGAGAUGUCCAACUUUGUUUUCUAUUUGUAUUAAAACUACACAUGUAACAUAGCAGACAACUGCUGUAAACAGAAUAUGUGAACAUCAAAUGAAUAAAUGACACCUACGGAAGUUAUAAAUACCGGAAGUCAGUUACACUUGCAGCAAAACUUGAAUAAUAGAUAAGUAGAAUUUAAAUCCAUGAAACAAAAUGUAAUGCUUUCACUUGUUGUUCAACCUUCUAUUGAAGCCCUGAGGGGUAAAUUAGGAUGGUAUGCUGUUUUCUUUCUCCUGUGUUUAUGUCUUGAGAACUGGUGGAAAAAUAAUCUUGACCAAUAAACUUUCAAAGUUUUCUUUUGUUUUCUGUUGGUUUGCACAGAGACAUGAAUACAUGAACACUUUAAUGGUGCACUUCAGCCUCCUGUGGUCAAAAUGACUGUUACAGAUACAAACACUUUGGAGAAACAACAAUUAAUAACAGCACAACAAGUUUUUCAUCAGUUUUAAAGUCAUAAAUGCAGGAGGGGAAACCGUUAAAAUCAGACUGAGAAGAUAGAUCACCAGAUAAAUAAGAUUCACAUAAUAAAUACAUAAGGAGCUUAGUUUCAUGUUAGGCUUGUUAUAAAAUGCAGUGCCUUCAUAUAAGCACACAAGAAUAUAAUUUAAUACAACAACGUAGCAGAUGGUAAUACAUCCAGGCUCUCCAUGUUCCCUGUAGUGGGUCAGAACAAAUGCAGAAUUACAUAAAAUCUCCAACAGAUUCAACUAAAGUUAAGACAGCUGAGUUACUUAUGCAUUACUUUAUUGUGUGUGUCAUUAAUUACAGUAAAUUAUGACAUUUAUGGUUGCUGAUACAGAGAACUGGUCACCUUACAAGGGUUGAGUUUGGC